GAUGAACGCUGACAGAAUGCUUAACACAUGCAAGUCAACUUGAAUUUGGGUUUUUAACUUAGGUUUGGGUGGCGGACGGGUGAGUAACGCGUAAAGAACUUGCCUCACAGCUAGGGACAACAUUUGGAAACGAAUGCUAAUACAUAAUAUUAUGAUAAUAGGGCAUCCUAUAAUUAUGAAAGCUAUAAGCGCUGUGAGAGAGCUUUGCGUCCCAUCAGCUAGUUGGAGAGGUAACGGCUCACCAAGGCGAUGAUGGGUAGCCGGCCUGAGAGGGUGAUCGGCCACAAGGGAACUGAGACACGGCCCUUACUCCUACGGGAGGCAGCAGUGGGGAAUAUUGGACAAUGGACCGAGAGUCUGAUCCAGCAAUUCUGUGUGCACGAUGAAGUUUUUCGGAAUGUAAAGUGCUUUCAGUUGGGAAGAAACAAAUGACGGUACCAACAGAAGAAGUGACGGCUAAAUACGUG
rnacentral:rRNA from 1 species